UCCACACAUCUUAAUGCACAUUUUUAUAUGCCUGCAUUGCUGAGAGUGCGGAUGGGAAACACAUUGUUGGUGUGCCCUUUCAACUUAACUUCUUUAUGGAACAACAAUGCGAAGCUUUUUGAAAAAAUCUAAUAUUGGUAGGUACGUGAAAGUUUCGUUUCCAUUUAUCCUCGAUUGGAUGGGAUCUAUUUACUUAGCAUUGUAAAAUUCAUUAAUAUCAAAUAAGGAAAUUGUGGAAAUAAAAUGCUUUUUGCAUUCAAAUGUGUUCAAUUUAAAAUUCUAUAUGAGAUAUUCGACAAAAUAACUAUUUUAGAUUAUAAACCUUAAAGGACUGUCGUUUUCCACUCCUGUUCCUACUAAAUUCUUAAUUAUGUAUGAAAAUGCACAAAAUAAAUAUUAC